GUAAGAUCCACUUCUUCAAGAAUUUGCGGCUUAUAAUAUGUCGUUACUCUCAUAGUGGCCCAAACCUGUUAUGCUAUCAAAGUCCCUAUUAUUUUGAAGAGGAUUUAAGUGCUCUCUCAUUGCUAACAAUUUAAGAUUUGAAUCCAAUUGCUAAUGAGCAAUGUGAUUUUGAAGGGAAAAGAGGUGGCCAGGGGCCCAAGGGGAGGAAGUUCAGCAUCAAGAAGAGCUAGUUAAAGAUGAAGUUGCAGGGGCAGGAGAGAGGGAGGCAAGGGAAGCUGGGUAUUGCCGCGGAGAUCUUUGCCGUGACGCGGUCGUUCUUGUUGGAGCAGAUGAAGAAGGACAACGGGGAUACUCCGGAGUAUAAUCAGUUCUGUAGCAAGGAGCUCAGGCCUGCACUCAGAGACAUAUUGUGGAUAUCUCCUACUGAGAACUUAACACCUGCUUGAGGAACUUAAAUCUUUUGUGUUAUUGGAAUCAAUUGCUUUGUCAGCGUUGUUGCUUUUAGAGCUCUCAAGGUUAUGGAAAUUGAAUUAGAUUUGUUGUCAUUGACUAUCAGUUAUGUGAUCCGUUUGUGUUGUGCUUUUGGGUUGGAGACGGAAAUUGUCACAGCUGUGUGCUUUCCUUGUGGUGUGUUCGUGAAUGGAUUUGCUUGUGGCUUUGGCUUUAGAGAUGGAAAUUUGGGAGCUAUUGCUUGCUGGC